AAUAACAGAAGAUAAUCAUCACCCCCAAUCAAGAACAUUAACAACCUUGGAAUCAAGGAAGCAACAACUGCAGGACUGUAUGAGAACCCUCAUAAA